AGAGUUCAUGAGAUGGAAGAGCAACUUAAAAAGUCAAGAUCUGCUCUAACAAAAAAGGAAGAUGAACAUGAAAAACUGAACCAAAGUAUUCAAGCCAUUUCCCAACAACAAAAUUACAAUGCAAG